rnacentral:tRNA from 1 species
GACUCUUUCCUUCAGUUGGUUAGAGCGCGUGGCUGUUAACCACGAGGUCGGAGGUUCAAGCUUUCCUUCAUGCGCUA